CGAAGAUCUUGCUGAUGCCCAGCUGGGAGAGAGUCUUCUUCAGGUUGUAGGUUCCAGAGAUGUGCAUCCUGGCUUCUUUCUUAGACCUGGGGAAUCUACAAAGUCUGAUAUGGAGACAAAGCCAUCUACCAAAAUGAGCCAUCAUCACCAUUAUCCACACGAUCAGCAUCCUGGGCCUGUAUUUAAUGUGGUGGAAAGUGCAGAGCCCUAGGGACAAGAGAAGUGGAUUCCAGUCCUGACUGUCCUUGACUGGCUUUGGAACUUGGGAUAAGUAACUAACCUCUCUCUGAGUUUCUCUUUUCUCACCUAAGAAAUGGAGACAAGAAUGUCAGUCCAACCUCUACAACCAAUGUUAUCAGGAUCCUCAGUGAUAAUGAAAAUGUACAUAUGGAGAGUAACUUAGACUUCACAAAGCUCGCUUCACAAACAUUUCCACACCGAAACCUAAAGGCUGUGAGUCAUCAUACUUACAGGAAAGUGGGGCUGAGAGAUUAGCUGCAUCACGGGAACUUAAGCUCACAAAACAAGAACCUGGUUGAGGAUCAACAAACAAGCAUGUGGACACCUCGAAGCCCAAGUCACAGGAGCAC